rnacentral:lncRNA from 1 species
UUUUUGAAAAUUUUUAUGUUUUUUGAGGGAAAAUAUGAAAUUUCAAAAUUUUACAGGGUAUUUAUGGUAUUAGAGCUAUUUGGAAAAGUACUGACAAAAUUUCCCUUUUAUUUUAGUUAGGUCCCACCAACCCAAAUAUUUAUUUUAUUCUGUUAAAAUAGAGCACAUAAAUUCCAAAAAUAAUCCUUCUUACUCAAGAUCACGGCAUGUUAAUAUAGCUCCUGACAAUGAUUUAAAAAUCGGAUCGACCCAACUGGCUUAAUCGGUCUGACUGUGAUCAAAUCUAUAAGACAGAUCGAUUCAAAUAAUCGCUUUAAAUUGGUCGAGCCUGUGGUUUAACCAUCGACUAGUGCACCAGUCAGACUUUAAUCAAACCAGCCGAAUUUUUUUGAUCAAGUCAUAUUAAAAUCUAACGGCUUAAAAUCAAUUUAGCUGAUUUUAUUUUCUAUUAGCACAGAUAGCCUUAUAAAAAGUGAAACUUGAAAACUUAUAUUCAUUUAACUGGGUCUAAAAAUUAAUAUUUUAUAAUUAAAUAUUAUAGUAAAAUAUUAAUAUAUAUAUUUAUAUAUAAUAAAAUUAAAAGAAAUAUUCAAAUAAUUAGGAUGUUAUAUUGACGUUACUAGUUUAACUAGUGGUUGAGCCACCGGCUGGACUAGUGAUCU